rnacentral:snRNA from 1 species
GAAUGACUCUUUCUAGCGGAGAA